rnacentral:rRNA from 1 species
GAUGAACGCUGGCGGCGUGCUUAACACAUGCAAGUCGAACGGUGAAGCAGAGCUUGCUCUGUGGAUCAGUGGCGAACGGGUGAGUAACACGUGAGCAACCUGCCCUGGACUCUGGGAUAAGCGCUGGAAACGGCGUCUAAUACUGGAUACGAGACGUGGCCGCAUGGUCAACGUUUGGAAAGAUUUUUUGGUUCAGGAUGGGCUCGCGGCCUAUCCGCUUGUUGGUGAGGUAAUGGCUCACCAAGGCGUCGACGGGUAGCCGGCCUGAGAGGGUGACCGGCCACACUGGGACUGAGACACGGCCCAGACUCCUACGGGAGGCAGCAGUGGGGAAUAUUGCACAAUGGGCGAAAGCCUGAUGCAGCAACGCCGCGUGAGGGAUGACGGCCUUCGGGUUGUAAACCUCUUUUAGCCAGGAAGAAGCGAAAGUGACGGUACUUGCAGAAAAAGCGCCGGCUAACUACGUGCCAGCAGCCGCAGUAACAC